UGGGGGGGGUAACAUAGAAUUUUUCAAUAUUUUUUGAAAUUUUUGAAAUUUUUAUUAUUUGUUUUUAAUUGCUUUAGUAGUUAAAUUUUAAUUUUUGUGUGAUUGUCUGUGGUCGAGCUUGUAGAAAUAUAAGUGAUUGGUUAGGAGUGUGUAAAUAGGAUUUUGUGCCUAGAAUGCAAAUUUAGCUCGAUAGUAAUUGAU
rnacentral:lncRNA from 1 species